rnacentral:lncRNA from 1 species
GGACAAGCUGAGGAACACAAGCAUUGUGAUGACUACGUUCGCUCAUAUAACUAUGAAGGCAAAGGCUCCAUGGCUGGUUCUGUGGGUUGCUGCAGUGAUCGGCAGGAGGAAGAAGGGCUAGAGUUUUUAGAUCACUUGGAACCGAAAUUUAGGACAUUAGCAAAGACAUGUGUGAAGAAAUAAAGGUGCUAGUUAGUAGAGAAACAUCUGCAAAUGAACACAGGGGUGUCACUGGAUGUAAGAGGAUAACAGCUUGUAGUAGCGACUUUGGGUAUUAAAAGAAAGUAAAGUCAUUUGUAGAUAAGGGUGCUUUACCAACCAUAGCUCCCCAAAUUCUCCUUGUCCCCAGAACUUGCCUGUUGUCUAGACAGGAUGUUGUCACUGUUGCUUUUCUUUCUGUGCGUGUCUAUGGCCUCUUCAGGACUGAACUGCGUGUGCCACUGAAAUUCUGGUGAUGUCUGAAACUUAAGCUCUUUUGCACACUGUGCAAGGCUCCAUGGUAGAGUUGGGUAUUGUGGAAGCUUAAAAUAUGAGUUUGCAUUGUGUAUAUAAAAAGUAAAUAUUUUUCAAGGUCAUGGGAA